rnacentral:lncRNA from 1 species
GUCCUCAAGCUACACAUGUGUCCGACCUCUACAGGUAUCCAUCGAAAUGAACCUUGAAUCUUUCUUCUUGUGAUAGAUCUUUUUUCUUCAAGUAUAAUCUCAGUUCUUUAGAACUUUGAUCAACUCUUUGAUCUUGACUACGAACUCAACUCUUGAACUGCAGUCUUUUUCUCUUCGUUCCUCACUGUAGAAGAAAACCUCCUUAACUCUUGAUGUGUAGAAGGAUG